AGCUUUGUACAGUGGCAGUAUCAAAGCCAAUGAGGUUUAUCUGAGGCAUGAUUAUUGCUAAUUGCAAACUUUAUUUCUUGGG
rnacentral:snRNA from 1 species